rnacentral:lncRNA from 1 species
CUUGGUCACGCUUAGUACCCUUGUUCUCUAACAAGCACCUGCACUAUCACUUCAGUGUCCCUACACUGUGGACUCAAGUCUCGUCCAUCCAGAAGGAAAGUAAUCUGUGCACUGAUCGGAUCAAUCACCGUCCUCGUGAUGAUCCAUUGAUCAGGAGCAUUUAGAAAUUAAUCACCAAUGAUACAUGGCUUAAAUUCUCAACUCUUGAGAAUAUGUAUCAUCAUCUUAUUAAUUUCUUGGACGAUUCAUAGACACAUAAACAAUAUGAAUGAAAAGACGCCUUUUAUUUAUUCAAUAAUAAAUAGUCAAGUACAAAAUUAUGUCUCUAGAAUCAACAAUGUGUCAGCCAANNNNNNNNNNNNNNNNNNNNNNNNNACAUCCGUUCCAGCUUCUCUGAUCCGCGAUCCAAGUUUAAACUCCUAACUCACCUCCCCAUCCCAUGAGCAUCAAAGGAUCACUUCCAAACCAAGUUUCCUCCCGUAUCCAAUGAGCAAAACCAAUCCUUCGUCCACGGAUUUCUCCCAGCACCCUCUCCCCAGUUCUACGUGUCUCUUCUCUUUCGGAUAAGAACCAACCAACCUCCGAAUCCCCUGUUUCUCCGCGACUUCUCCACGUCCACGAACAGAUCUCCCGACCCAUAUCCGGAUUCUUCUCAUUUGCGAUGGCUUCUCUCCCAUCGGAUGAACAUCUCCUAACAUACCUCCCCUGUUCCGCAUCCAAGCCAAAGGAAAUCAAAUAUUCAAACACCAGCCGAAUCCAGAUCCUCUCGUUUCGGAUCAUCUCCCAGCCUAUCAAUGGAUGAGUCCACGCGUUCUUCCCAGCUCUACAACAACCAUUCCGAGCUUCACG